rnacentral:rRNA from 1 species
GCUGGAUUCGCUAGUAAUCGCGCAUCAGCCAUGGCGCGGUGAAUACGUUCCCGGGCCUUGUACACACCGCCCGUCAAGCCAUGGGAGCCGGGGGUGCCUGAAGUACGUGACCGCGAGGAGCGUCCUAGGGCAAAACUGGUGACUGGGGCUAAGUCGUAACAAGGUAAC